rnacentral:tRNA from 1 species
AUUUAUAUAGUUUAAAUAAAACAUUACAUUUUCACUGUAAAAAUAAAAUAUUCAUUUUUAUAAAUA